rnacentral:hammerhead_ribozyme from 1 species
GACCGAAAUAUUCGCCUCUGUGAGACCGCUGAGGGAUUGUCUGUUCGGCGUGGUGGCCACGCCCUGAUGAGCAGUUGAAC